CAUUGUCAGUCGGCUUAAUUUGUGUUCCUCUUCUUCUCUCAAUGGGGAAUUGCAAUUGGGUGGUGCACCUCAUUAAUGUGUUACAAAAAUCAAUCAGCAUAGUUAUUAGUCGUAUAUCAGAUCAAGAGAAAAUAUUCAGCACUAUUUGCACCGCGCAUUAAUACUGUUGCCACACCGGGGUCAUGGUCACUUUUUAAGAGAUCCGGUUACCAUAUUCCAACUCACACUUAUAAAUUAACACAUUGAAAUUUACAUUUCACUGAACUGGCUUACAAACCUGAGUUGAAAUAGUGAAAAACUCAUUAAAUUAAGUUGAAAUUUCAUAACUUAUUAUGUUAAGUGGAGGUAAAUUAUAGAAAGAAGUUCCUAUAACUUAUUGAUCCAAUCCUUUUUUACAGUGUAUAUGACAUCUACAUAUUUGAUUUCUCGCCUCAAAACUUCUGGUCUCACUGUCUGUGUUCUGGUCUGACCUGGUGUUCUGGUCUGGUCUCACUGUCUGUGUUCUGGUCUGUCCUGGUGUUCUGGUCUGGUCUCACUGUCUCCUGUGACAGAGACUCAGUCAAACGAGGACUCUCCUCCCUGUGAAACUAAAGCCAGCUGAAUGAGCUGUGUUCCAGUAAAGCUCCACCUCUUCCUGUACACAGAUCUACACUGAGGACAGCACGUGAUGAUCAGAGCAGAGAGCAGGCGGACGGCCAGAGAGACGGUCUACCUGGACAUGGAUCACCUGUUGCUGCUGCUGCUGCUGCUGCUGUGGAGCUCAGGACUCCAGGCUGAAGGACGACACACCUCAACAGAGCCUGUCAGGUUGGUGGGAGGAGCCAGUCGCUGUGCAGGAACACUGGAGCUGA